GAUGAACGCUGGCGGCGUGCCUAAUACAUGCAAGUCGAGCGAACGGACGAGAAUCUUGCUUCUCUGAUGUUAGCGGCGGACGGGUGAGUAACACGUGGAUAACCUACCUAUAAGACUGGGAUAACUUCGGGAAACCGGAGCUAAUACCGGAUAAGAUUUUGAACCGCAUGGUUCAAAAGUGAAAGACGGUCUUGCUGUCACUUAUAGAUGGAUCCGCGCUGCAUUAGCUAGUUGGUAAGGUAACGGCUUACCAAGGCAACGAUGCAUAGCCGACCUGAGAGGGUGAUCGGCCACACUGGAACUGAGACACGGUCCAGACUCCUACGGGAGGCAGCAGUAGGGAAUAUUCGGCAAUGGGCGAAAGCCUGACGGAGCAACGCCGAGCGAGUGAUGAAGGUCUUCGGAUCGUAAAGCUCUGUUAUUAGGGAAGAACAUAUGUGUAAGUAACUGUGGACAUCUCGACGGUACCUAAUCAGAAAGCAACGGCUAACUACGUG
rnacentral:rRNA from 1 species